UAAAAGCAUUAAGAGAGGGUAAUUACCUCAGCAACCUGGAAGGCUACCAAGGUGCUAAGAAGAUGUGGCUUUAAGCAAAAAAGAGCCAAU
rnacentral:ncRNA from 10 species